rnacentral:rRNA from 1 species
CCUACGGGAGGCAGCAGUGAGGAAUAUUGGUCAAUGGACGAGAGUCUGAACCAGCCAAGUAGCGUGAAGGAUGACUGCCCUAUGGGUUGUAAACUUCUUUUAUAUGGGAAUAAAAUGUUCCACGUGUGGGAUUUUGUAUGUACCAUAUGAAUAAGGAUCGGCUAACUCCGUGCCAGCAGCCGCGGUAAUACGGAGGAUCCGAGCGUUAUCCGGAUUUAUUGGGUUUAAAGGGAGCGUAGGUGGAGUGUUAAGUCAGUUGUGAAAGUUUGCGGCUCAACCGUAAAAUUGCAGUUGAAACUGGCAGUCUUGAGUACAGUAGAGGUGAGCGGAAUUCGUGGUGUAGCGGUGAAAUGCUUAGAUAUCACGAAGAACUCCGAUUGCGAAGGCAGUUCACUGGACUGCAACUGACACUGAGGCUCGAAAGUGUGGGUAUCAAACAGGAUUAGAUACCCCUGUAGUC